rnacentral:rRNA from 1 species
AACGAACGCUGGCGGCAUGCCUAACACAUGCAAGUCGAACGAGACCUUCGGGUCUAGUGGCGCACGGGUGCGUAACGCGUGGGAACCUGCCCUUAGGUUCGGAAUAACUCCCCGACAGGGGUGCUAAUACCGGAUAAUGUCUUCGGACCAAAGAUUUAUCGCCUUUGGAUGGGCCCGCGUUGGAUUAGCUAGUUGGUAGGGUAAAAGCCUACCAAGGCGACGAUCCAUAGCUGGUCUGAGAGGAUGCGCAGCCACACUGGGACUGAGACACGGCCCAGACUCCUACGGGAGGCAGCAGUGGGGAAUAUUGGACAAUGGGCGAAAGCCUGAUCCAGCAAGGCCGCGUGAGUGAUGAAGGCCGUAGGGUUGUAAAGCUCGUUUACCCGGGAUGAUAAUGACAGUACCGGGAGAAUAAGCUCCGGCUAACUCCGUG